UACGUAGGGCGCAAGCGUUGUCCGGAAUUAUUGGGCGUAAAGAGCUCGUAGGCGGCCUGUUGCGUCCGCUGUGAAAUCCCGGGGCUUAACCCCGGGCGUGCAGUGGAUACGGGCUGGCUGGAGGCAGGCAGGGGAGAACGGAAUUCCCGGUGUAGCGGUGAAAUGCGCAGAUAUCGGGAGGAACACCGGUGGCGAAGGCGGUUCUCUGGGCCUGUACUGACGCUGAGGAGCGAAAGCGUGGGGAGCGAACAGG
rnacentral:rRNA from 1 species